GAUGAACGCUGGCGGCGUGCUUAACACAUGCAAGUCGAACGGAACUACUCCGAUGAGAAUCUUCGGAAAGGAUUUGGUUUAGUUUAGUGGCGGACGGGUGAGUAACGCGUGGGUAACCUGCCCUAUACAGGGGGAUAACAGUUGGAAACGGCUGUUAAUACCGCAUAAGCGCACAGGAGCGCAUGCUCCGGUGUGAAAAACUCCGGUGGUAUAGGAUGGAUCCGCGUCUGAUUAGCUGGUUGGCGGGGUAACGGCCCACCAAGGCAACGAUCAGUAGCCGGCCUGAGAGGGUGAACGGCCACAUUGGGACUGAGACACGGCCCAA
rnacentral:rRNA from 1 species